rnacentral:rRNA from 1 species
AUGGCGACGAAAGGAAGCGAAUAUACAGCUCCACCGGAUCCAGAUAUUUCCCCGUUGUUACUGUUUCAUUACAACAAUGACAUGCCGAUGGAGGAAAGCGACGAUGACAUAAAUUUCAGCGAUGAAGACGAGCCUGAUCAUGAUGAAGUCGACAAAAGUGAUGGUGACGAAGAGGCCGCAGAUGAAGAGGCCGAGAAAAUUCACGGGGUUGAGUCGACUGAGGAGGCAAGCGAUGGUCUCUUCUUGUACAGCACAAGUAGAAUGCAGCAAUCACAGCGCAGGGGACUGGAUGAUCUGGAAAGCCACUUCUACUGGGUAACACCACAAGGUUGGCUGCUCAUGCGACACCACCACUCACGCGAGACCUUCCUGUGGAACCCGUCCACGCGUCAGAGAAUCGGCCUGCCAUCGGGUCAUCAGAGGGGAUUCCUGGAAGAGAACACCACCAGGUGCUUGCUAUCGCAUGCGCCCACCGACCCCAACUGCGUCGUGCUAGUGAUCAACUGCAGAGACACGGUGCUCUGGUACUGCAGCCCUGCCGCCGGAGCCCAAUGGUUUGAGCAUAGGUACGACUCACGGAUGCUGGACCAAAGCCGCAAUAAGGUGGUCAGAAGAAUGAGGCGCCUUACCGCAUUUGGGGGAAUGUUCUACGCAGAUUUGUUCCGUGCCGUCGUGACACUCCGGUUCUCGCCGCACCCGACCUUCACGGUAACCCCCGUCGACGUUAGAUCGCGUCGGCUGCACAGCUGCACGGAAUUUCAGCUGUUGGAAUCAUGCGGAGAGCUGUUCAGAGCAUCCUUCGGCCAACAGUUUUUCGUAGAUGAAGUUCUGCAUGUUGGUGUUCAGCGGCUGGACGUCGCUGAAAUGGCCUGGGUGAAAGUGCACUCUCUGGGUGACAGAGUGUUCCUAGUCAAUUCUAGGUACUUCAGGGCAUCACUAAGUGCGGAAGAAGCCGGUUUAAAGCGGAACUGCGUAUAUUUUCUGAGACACGGUGACAAGGGAUUAUAUGUUUACAACAUGGAGCGAGGCACCACUACUCUGCAUAAUCCCGGUCAACAUCUGCACGAUGAUGUGGCUGCUGAAAUAUUGUUGAUACCAACCUCUUGA